rnacentral:tRNA from 1 species
UGCUUCGAUAGUUUAUAAUAAGAACACGCCAUUGAAGCUGGCGAGGAAACUUUUUAAGUUUCAAAGU